CGGGAAAAGGGAAAGGCUUAGUGGCGGACGGGUGAGUAACGCGUGGGUAACCUGGCCCAUACAGGGGGAUAACACUUAGAAAUAGGUGCUAAUACUGCAUAACAACAGAAAGCGCAUGCUUUUUGUUUGAAAACCAAGGUGGUAUGGGAUGGACCCGCGUCUGAUUAGCUGGUUGGCGGGGUAAAGGCCCACCAAGGCGACGAUCAGUAGCCGGCCUGAGAGGGUGGACGGCCACAUUGGGACUGAGACACGGCCCAAACUCCUACGGAAGGCAGCAG
rnacentral:rRNA from 1 species